UAAGUAUAUUUUCUUUUGUUACAGUUCCUUGUUGUGGCAGCACUAGUAAUCCUUGGCAAUCAAGCCGAAGCAGGGAACGAGCAAAAAAAUGGAGAGUCAUCGGUAAAGUUCGCGGUAGGUGGACCUCCGCCUUUACAACGUAUCACCUUACCUAAUGGAAAGGUAGUAUAUGUUGAAGGAGACGUACCGGUAAAGGAAUAGAUAAUAUUAUGCUACUUCACGACCAGAUAACGACAUUGUGAUCUUGCAAGUAAUUAUGUAUAUAGAAAUAUACAUUUUUUUAUUUUUAACUUUUAUAAAAUAAAAUAAACUUCAUAUUUACUACAA